AGCGAACGCUGGCGGCAGGCCUAACACAUGCAAGUCGAACGGAUCCUUCGGGAUUAGUGGCGGACGGGUGAGUAACACGUGGGAACGUGCCCUUUGGUUCGGAACAACUCAGGGAAACUUGAGCUAAUACCGGAUGUGCCCUUCGGGGGAAAGAUUUAUCGCCAUUGGAGCGGCCCGCGUCUGAUUAGCUAGUUGGGGAGGUAACGGCCCACCAAGGCGACGAGCAGUAGCUGGUCUGAGAGGAUGAUCAGCCACACUGGGACUGAGGCACGGCCCAGACUCCUACGGGAGGCAGCAGUGGGGAAUCUUGCGCAAUGGGCGAAAGCCUGACGCAGCCAUGCCGCGUGAAUGAUGAAGGUCUUAGGAUUGUAAAAUUCUUUAAGCGGGGACGAUAAUGACGGUACCCGCAGAAGAAGCGCCGGCUAACUUCGUG
rnacentral:rRNA from 1 species